CACCUGUAACUCACGUGACCCUGAUUAUUAUUGAAACGAGAACGAGGGCGUUGUGCCUUUAUAAGACUGCGUUAUUGUUUCCGUGGAGUUAUCCCUUCCGUUGUUGUUUAUUGAUUGUUAAACAUGGCUUCAUUUGCAAAGGUGGUUGUGUGUGUCCUGAUCGCUUGUGUCUGUAAUGCAUUCUGUUUUCCGAAGAGAGAUGUGAACUUUAAGGCCUCUGCAGUUGACCGCCAAAGUGAUGAUGUGGUUGUCACCACAACACCCGUUCCCCACAACCAGACCACAUCUGCCCAUACUGAAGCUGGUGGUGGUGCAAGUGAAGAUGCUGUGGCUACUACCCCAGCACCUAAUCCACACAACCUGACAACUUCUGCACAAACUGAAGUUACAG
ensembl:lncRNA